AAGUUUAGGCUACAUACUAAACCGAGGGCCUUCAAAGCCCAAAACAGAGAUUCCCACUCUAACUUCU
rnacentral:tRNA from 1 species